UACGAAGGGGGCUAGCGUUGCUCGGAAUUACUGGGCGUAAAGGGCGCGUAGGCGGACAGUUUAGUCAGAGGUGAAAGCCCAGGGCUCAACCUUGGAACUGCCUUUGAUACUGACUGUCUUGAGUUCGGGAGAGGUGAGUGGAAUGCCGAGUGUAGAGGUGAAAUUCGUAGAUAUUCGGCGGAACACCAGUGGCGAAGGCGGAACUCACUGGCCCGAGUACUGAC
rnacentral:rRNA from 1 species